AAGCCGGUGUAAGUCCGGUCCGGGGAGACGCCAGGGUCCCCGGUAGCUGACUCCCGGCGUCACUCGAAAUGGUGGCGUCGAAGUGGAGUGCGGUCGAGGAGUUGGGCUUCGAACUGGGA
rfam:Streptomyces atratus strain OK807 genome assembly, contig: Ga0007934_1053